UUGUGAAACUUGAAAAAUAUCGGGUGCAGAGAUUGAAACAUAUGUGAUUAGUUCUUGGAAAUCAUAAGUAUUGCUCCUAGCUGUUGAAGAUAAAUAUGUUUGCACCCCGAGAGAGAAAGUCCAAUGUCUAGAUUGGAGGACCAAAUCUUGCUUCACUACCUACCUUCCAACAGGGUUACAAGGAAGAGGCACCGGAGUUUAUUGAGAAUAUGAACAAAAAAAAUUAAUGAUUGUUUUAAACUUAUUUGUUUUGUCAUAUUGUUUUAAAGCAAUUUACAGAAAAUGCUUAUGGCAUGAUUGAAAAUGUG